rnacentral:misc_RNA from 1 species
GCAAACUUGGUCAUUUAGAGGAAGUAAAAGUCGUAACAAGGUUUCCGUAGGUGAACCUGCGGAAGGAUCAUUAGAAAAAUAAAAAUGCCUUGUGGCGUUUUUUAUUUACAUCCACAUACCAUUUUGCGCUUAACGCGCGUAUAUACAUAUGUGUAAUAGUAGUAGUAAAAUAUUAUUGUUAUUGUAUGUAAUAAAUUUUCAAGUCGUCUUUUUUUAAAGACGCAUUAAAAUAAAUAAAGAAAAACUUUCAACAAUGGAUCUCUUGGCUCUCGCAUCGAUGAAGAACGCAGC